rnacentral:rRNA from 1 species
UUUAAAGUCUAAUCUGCCCCAUGAGGAAUUAAAUGGCCGCGGUACUUUGACCGUGCAAAGGUAGCAUAAUAAUUAGUUUUUUAAUUGAAAGCUGGUAUGAAUGAUUGGACGAGAAAAUAACUGUCUCAAUUUAAUUUUUUUAGAAUUUUAUUUUUAAGUAAGAAAGCUUAAAUUUUAUUAAAAGACGAGAAGACCCUAUAGAGUUUUAUAUUUAGUUUAUUUUUAGUUUUAAAGAAUUAUUUUAUUAAUAUUUAAUUAAAUAUUUUAUUGGGGUGAUAGAAAAAUAUUAUAAACUUUUUUUUUAUUUUAACAUUGAUUUAUGAUUUAAUGAUCCAUUAUUAUAUGAUUAAAAGAAUAAGUUACCUUAGGGAUAACAGCGUAAUUUUUUUUUAGAGUUCUUAUCGAAAGAAAAGAUUGCGACCUCGAUGUUGGAUUAAAAUUAAUAUUUGGUGUAGAAGCUAGAUAAUUGGGUCUGUUCGACCCUUGAAAUUUUACA